rnacentral:rRNA from 1 species
CAGUCGCCGCGGUAAUACGGAGGGUGCAAGCGUUAUCCGGAUUUAUUGGGUUUAAAGGGUCCGUAGGCGGAUCUGUAAGUCAGUGGUGAAAUCUCACAGCUUAACUGUGAAACUGCCAUUGAUACUGCAGGUCUUGAGUAAAUUUGAAGUGGCUGGAAUAAGUAGUGUAGCGGUGAAAUGCAUAGAUAUUACUUAGAACACCAAUUGCGAAGGCAGGUCACUAAGAUUUAACUGACGCUGAUGGACGAAAGCGUGGGGAGCGAACAGGAUUAGAUACCCCUGUAGUCCCUGUCUCAUACAC